rnacentral:rRNA from 1 species
UACGUAGGGUGCAAGCGUUGUCCGGAUUUAUUGGGCGUAAAGAGCGUGUAGGCGGCCAGAUAGGUCCGUUGUGAAAACUGGAGGCUUAACCUCCAGCUGUCGAUGGAAACCAUCUGGCUAGAGUCCGGAAGAGGAGAGUGGAAUUCCUGGUGUAGCGGUGAAAUGCGCAGAUAUCAGGAAGAACACCCGUGGCGAAGGCGGCUCUCUGGGACGGUACUGACGCUGAGACGCGAAAGCGUGGGGAGCGAACAGG